rnacentral:lncRNA from 1 species
UGUCUUCAAGUCGUUGUAUUCCGUCUUGAACGCCGCCGAGUCCAGCCUCCAAGGCUUCAAUCCUCUCUUUGUUGGUUGCCAUUGUAACCGAGCUCUGAUACCAAUGUUAGGUCCCAGCCAAAGCUCCUAGAACAAGGAUGAAAUAUUCUCUUCGGGUGAGAACAGACCACAAGGUUUGGAACACUUUUCUCAUAUCCUUUCUUAUUUAUUGAAAGAGUUUAAAUACAUAUUUUAUCUAACCACUCUUCCUAAACUUACGACCACGACUAUUGUGCACAAACAGAAACUAAAUCAUGGCAGCAGAAAUAACAAACUAGCAGAAGAAUAGGACUUCAACUAAAAUAAAGACAACACCACAGACUUCUUCUCCAAGCGUUGCAGCUCAAGACUCAGUCCAAAUAUUUCUGAUUUGGCCGAGAAACACGGUGAGUUCUUCGUGGUUUAUCA